AAACCUGAGUAGUAUUAGUUAAGGUCUUGAAACUCAAAAAAUUUGGCGGUAUUUUAGUCUAUUUAGAGGAACCUGUAGUAUAAUCGAUAAUCCACGAUGGACCUCACUUAAUUUUGUUUUUCAGUUUGUAUACCGCUGUUAUUUGAAAAUUUUAUAAGAAUAUUAAUUUUCAUAAUUUUAAAUUAAAAAGUAAAUCAGGUCAAGGUGCAGCUUAUGAUUAAGUAUUUAUGGGUUACAAUAAAAUUAUUUAUAUGGAUUAAAAUAUGAAAUUAUUUUAUAAAAGCGGAUUUAAUAGUAAAUUUUUAUAGAUUAAAAAAUUGAUU
rnacentral:rRNA from 1 species